rnacentral:rRNA from 1 species
AAAUUGAAGAGUUUGAUCAUGGCUCAGAUUGAACGCUGGCGGCAGGCCUAACACAUGCAAGUCGAGCGGCAGCGGAAAGUAGCUUGCUACUUUGCCGGCGAGCG